rnacentral:rRNA from 1 species
GUGGGGAAUCUUAGACAAUGGGCGCAAGCCUGAUCUAGCCAUGCCGCGUGAGUGAUGAAGGCCUUCGGGUUGUAAAGCUCUGUGGGGAGGGAAGAAAAAGCGCAGGAGUAACUGCUCUCGUGUUGACGGUACCUCCUUAGCAAGCACCGGCUAACUCUGUGCCAGCAGCCGCGGUAAUACAGAGGGUGCAAACGUUGCUCGGAAUUACUGGGCGUAAAGCGCGUGUAGGCUGACAUGCAAGUCGGGUGUGAAAUCCCAGGGCUCAACCUUGGAACUGCACUCGAAACUGCACGUCUUGAGUACUGGAGAGGGAAGCGGAAUUCCGGGUGUAGAGGUGAAAUUCGUAGAUAUCCGGAGGAACACCAGUGGCGAAGGCGGCUUCCUGGACAGUAACUGACGCUGAGACGCGAAAGCGUGGGGAGCAAACAGGAUUAGAAACCCGGGUAGUCC